CAAAGACUUUUACAGUCGUUCAUUAGGUCAAAGAUGGGAUUUCCUCCCUCUUCUGUAGAAGGACGUGAUGCUCCUGAUGAGGUCUUCUGACACCAUUUAAUUUGAGCACCAGCAGAAGCACCAUUAGUAAAAUAUUCCUGCAACACAGAGGAGGUGCAUAGGUGCAUAGCCUCGAAAAAGAAACUAAAAAAUACUUGAUGAAAAUGUUUGGACCAUUCUGGCCUUUCUGUUUUGGAUGUUUCAUUAACACAUUGAUUAACAACCAAUGACCAAACAAAACAAUGCAUUCACUCUAUUGAUAUCUGCAUAGAUUGAUUCUUUCUUUUUUCUUUUUUUUUUUUGACUACUUCUGAUGAGGUAACAUGAAGAGCGAUGUCAAUGACAACCACAGUCUUAAGGCUAAAAACAAGCCCAAGAACUGAAGGGUCCUGCUCAUGCAGCCAUGGAAACCCCUCAGUGCUACAAGCAAGGUCAAAGGUCUCCUCGAUCCGUCAGCUCCAAACUCAUCCUUCAACCGACCAGGAAUGACACAUGCUGUCCUGUGGUUUUAGGGGUGAAGGUAAAAAACGGGACACCUUGACCUUCUCAGACAUGCUUUAGUGAUGGCGUUUGUAAAAAAUACAAAAAACAAGUGUUACCAUGUGCCACAAUCAGGUAAAAAAAUAACCAGAGGCUGCACACCGAGGCUGAUGACCGCUAGGUAGACGUCACGAAGUAGCUCCGAAGGGCAGUGAGGAGCAGGAAACUGUGACGCAGUUGGACGUGGAAGCCAAUCAGAAGCAGAGGAGCGAGACCGCGAUCUUGGCUCAAAC